GGGAUGCGGGUGAAGCCGGACGCCAUCCUCCUGCAGACGGACGGACACCGGAAACCGCCACGCAGCGAGCUGUCGCCGCUGGAGCCGCCGCCGCUACAGCCGCUCCAUCCCGGAGGAGCCCGAACCGAGCCCCGGCGGAGGGCAGAAGAUACACAGUCUGACACCCUGCUAAGACACGCCCUGGACAUCUCCUCCCUCUUCCCCAUAGAAACCUGAAAACUGAACUCUUAACACCCUCAGGAUUUCUACCUGCACGUACAGACUUUAAACCAGCAUCUAAGUUCAUUCAGUUAUCCUACUGUCGAGCAUAUUUGCACUGCUUGGACUGUUGUUAGUCAUUUGCACUGUUUUGAAUAUUCUGCACCAUAUAUGUCACUUUAUCUCAUGGUCAUGUUUACAUUUCACUAACUUCUGCUUUUUGGUUUGUAGUUGUUGCUUAGUUUUGGUUCCUUUGUUCUUAGUUUAACUGAUCUCUGCUUUCUAGUUCCUAAUUUACUUAAAUUUUGCCUUUUUAAAUCUUGUUUUUUAUAUUAUAUUUCUAAAUGCAUAUAUGUGUGUGUGUGUGUGUGUGUGUGUGUAUUUAUUUAUUUAUCUCAGAACCUUUUAAAUAUUUAUUUAAUGUCUACUGGUACACAGAGAGGGUGACGUAAUUUUAAUCCUUGGUGUGUUGUGUGCAUAUUGAAGAAUUGACAAUAAAGCUAACUUUGACAUUAUUUUGAUUUCUUUAUAUAACUUUUAAAUGCAACACCAGACAUGUACUACUGUUGCUCUGCCUAAAUCCAAUUCUAGGUUGUCCUUUCUGCUCCAUAUUUUUAAAUUCAGUUGUGCGUACCAUAAUAUGAUGAUCUUAACUUUCCCGCACCAUAAACACCGCACAUGCUUUUUUUGUGCUGUUUUUCUGUACUCACCCUUUUUGCACUGUUCUUGUACUUUCAUAUUUGCUACCUCAGUAUGUUGGAGUAGGUGUGAGUGAUGAGUGUGUUCUGUGAAUAGGUUAAUAAUGGCCCUACUAUCACAGGCACUGAGAGCUUCUUCAUUGCUGCAUAUACCAGUGAAGUCUUUAAAUCCUUUGAAUCUUUGUUAGGUUAUUCAAAACAUCAGUCUUAUUUUUCUACUGGAGGCACUUUGCCUGUUGAUAUAUUUUUAACCUUUCUGUUUUGUAGUUGUCCAUGUAAAUUAGGAUAGAUUAGCUUUAUUUAGGAUUUCCAGCUUUUUGUGUGCAUAUGUGUUAUUUGUGUUUGCUUACUUUUUUUCUUUAACAUCUGGCCUGCAGCUACAGAUGAAUAUUAGCCUGUGGCUAACUGUGUUGCAUUUACAGGAAUGUUUUAUUAAUGUACACUGGCCCUGUUUGAAAUUAGUUUCUAAAUAAACACUAUGUUAGUAUUGAUGACUUAA